AUUGAACGCUGGCGGCAGGCCUAACACAUGCAAGUCGAGCGGUAGAGAGGUGCUUGCAUCUCUUGAGAGCGGCGGACGGGUGAGUAAUGCCUAGGAAUCUGCCUAGUGGUGGGGGAUAACGUUCGGAAACGGACGCUAAUACCGCAUACGUCCUACGGGAGAAAGCGGGGGAGUCUUUCGGACCUCGCGCCAUUAGAUGAGCCUAGGUCGGAUUAGCUAGUUGGUGAGGUAAUGGCUCACCAAGGCGACGAUCCGUAACUGGUCUGAGAGGAUGAUCAGUCACACUGGAACUGAGACACGGUCCAGACUCCUACGGGAGGCAGCAGUGGGGAAUAUUGGACAAUGGGCGAAAGCCUGAUCCAGCCAUGCCGCGUGUGUGAAGAAGGUCUUCGGAUUGUAAAGCACUUUAAGUUAGGGUAGGAAGGGUAAGUAACCUAAUACGUUGC
rnacentral:rRNA from 1 species